rnacentral:rRNA from 1 species
ACGGAAGGCAGCAGUCGGGAAUUUUGCGCAAUGGAUGAAACUCUGACGCAGUGACGCCGCGUGCAGGAAGAAGGUUUUCGGAUUGUAAACUGCUUUAGACAGGGAAGAAACAAGACAGUACCGGUAGAAUAAGCUCCGGCUAACUACGUGCCAGCAGCAGCGGUAAUUCGUAGGGAGCAAGCGGUAUCCGGAUUUAUUGGGUGUAAAGGGUGCGUAGACGGGAAAAUAAGUUAGCUGUGAAAUCCCUCGGCUUAACUGAGGAACUGCAACUAAAACUGUUUUUCUUGAGUACUGGAGAGGAAAGUGGAAUUCCUAGUGUAGCGGUGAAAUGCGUAGAUAUUAGGAGGAACACCAGUGGCGAAGGCGACUUUCUGGACAGAAACUGACGUUGAGGCACGAAAGUGUGGGGAGCAAACAGGAUUAGAUACCCUGGUA